rnacentral:tRNA from 1 species
CUGAGGAUAGUUUACUAAAAACAUUAACCCUGGAAGUUAAAACUCUCAUAAGAGCCCUCUGG